CUAAUUUCCGCCUCUUUCCAUUCUUGACUUUCUCCUUUCCUGACGUUCCCCCUUCUCCAGCUGCCCUGCGACCUUGGGCACAGCACCUCCCUGAGCCUCAGUUUAACCACCUGUAAAAUGGGGAGUUAUCAUAGUUGUUAACUAAAGGGUUAUGGUGAGGAUUAUCUCAGACAGGUUGCUCUUAACAGAUGGUGAUUUUGCCCCUUAGGGGACAUUUGGUAAUGUCUGGAGACAUUUUUGAUUAUGGUAAACGGGGCAGAAAUGCUAUUUGCCUCUAGUAGGUAGAGGACAGGGAUGCUACUAAAUGUCUUACCAUACACAGGACAGUCUUCACAACAUAGAAUGAUCUGAUCCUAGAUGUCAAUAAUGCCAAGGUUGAGAACCUCUACAUUACAGAAUCAGAAGCAAUAUUAACAUAUAUUAUUAAUUUUUUAAAAUUGUACUUGAACACGUAAACACUGCGUAUCUAAAAUUCAUUGAGUCGGUCAGACCCGCACUCAAAUUCUGACUCUGCCAUUUACUGGGAAUGUGACUUUGGAGAAAUUGCUUCACCUGUCUGGAUUUUAGUUUCUUUAAUGAUAAAAUAAGGACAAUUACCUCCAACGGUGAGGCUCAAAAUAGGGGAUUCGGAUGUGAGGGCGAUCUAGCUGUAACAUCUGUCACCCUGUUGAUCGCCAGGGUUGAUCUGGCUGAUCUAGCUGGCUAGGCGGGUGUCCCCUUCCCCCCUCACCACUCCAUGUUCAUCCCUCCCAAAGCUGCAUGCUUCAAGAGGAUGACUGUCUCUGAUAGAGGAGGACCAGUCUUCGGUCAAGGGUAUAUCUCCAAACCUCCAAACAAGUUCUCAAAACAGAGGAUUCAUGUAAAGUACUUAACCCAGUACCCACCAUACAGUAUAUGAUAAACAAAUAUUAAAUCCUAUUAACAUCACUGCCAUCCACUCACGGGCACUGCAUGGAUGUGGAGCUGGUAGAAUAUGAUAAAGCUUGAGUGGAAGGAGAAAAUCAGAAACUCAAAGGAAGAGUAAGAAAAGGAAGAAAGAAAAUAAAGUACCAUCUAUUAGGUGCUUAUUAUGGGCUGUCAUUUGACACUUUUGUAUACAUGAUCUCAUUUAAUCCCCAUAGCUACCCAAUAAAACAGGCCAUAUUAUGCCUAUUUUACAGAUGAGGAAAUUGAGUUGCUUCAAUGUUAACUUAGCUGUCUGAGGUAUCAGACUCCAAGCGCAAUGCUCUUUUCAACCACCGUAUAGUGGGUUAAAUAGCGUCCCCCAAAAAUCCAUAUCCACCUAAAAACUCAGAAUGGGACCUUAUUGGGAAAUAGGGUCUUUGCAGAAGUAAUGAGUUAAGCUGAGGUCAUACUAGAUUAAGGUGGGCCCUGAAUUCAAUGACUGGUGUCCUUGAGGACACAUGGAGACAGAAAGAGAAGAGGGGAAGGCCACAUAAAGACAGAGGCAGAGAUAAGCAUGAUGCAGCCCACAGGCCAAGGAAUGCCUGGAGCCACCAGGGGAAGGAAGGAUUCUCCCCUAGAGCCUUCAGAGGAGCAUGUCUCUCCCAACAUCUUCAUUUCAGACAUCUAGCCUCCAGAACUGUGAGACAAUAAGUUCCUGUUGUUUUAAGAUAUCCAGGUUUUGAUUAUUUGUUAUGGUAGCCUAGAAAUUUAACACAGACCCUCCUCCCAACCUGAGUCAAAACAAUUGUGUGUGUGUGUGUGUGUGUGUGUGUGUGUGAGAGAGAGAGAGAGAGAGGAGAAAGAGGAGAGAGAGAGAGGAGAAAGAGAAAGAGGAGAGAGAGAGAGAAACAGCAUGCCUAAGUCUAGACAAGUGAGAACUAAGGAAGAAUAAGGAAGAACAAGGAAAGCAAAAGAAAACAGGUUGAAGAGGGAGGAGGAAGAGAUUUUGCAAUUGGCAUGCAGUAGGGGAGCUGCAAUGAGAAAGAAGGAAGAGAAGAAAGGAAAGGGGUGAAGAGUCUGUGUUUAUAUCCCUGUAACUGGUUUCUCUCUGACUCUCCGGCAACCUGGACAUUGCCUGACACACAGCAGGCAUUCACUAGACACUUGCUGAAUGCAAGUGAGAGAUGUCGUGAUAAACAUGACUGGAUCACUGCUCCCCCAAAGCUGCCAGCCAGUAUUUGCUUUAUCAUUCAAGAAACUCCAUACAAGUUUCAGAUGAAUGAUGCAUCUUCCAUACAAUCUCCCCUAGGGCUCCUGUUUGUGUGAAACCAUUUCUUCCUUUGUCCACACAUCCCAUCUUGUGUCAGAGUUAUUGAGGGACAUGUGCAUCUCCUCCUCUAGAUCUUGAGAAAUGCAAGGGCACAGUCCCUAGUCCAUCCAUGUCUGCAUCUCCCACAACAUCAGGCACAGGGCUAGGUACAUAGUAAGAUACAAACAACAGUUGGUUGAUUUAAAAUUUUCCAUUUCUAAGAUGUACUUUUUUGAGCCAUUCUGUUAAGAGGUAAAACUUCAAAAUGCUGAGAAAAUUAUUCAGCAAGCAAUUACUGAGCAUCUACCCUAUACCUGACUCUGAUAUGGAGGUUGCAGCCCGAGUCAAGUAAAGUCUUCUCUCAGGGUUUCUCUCUCUAGGAAGACAAGAACAUCGGCAUUUACAAUAACUGGGUGACACAUGCAUUGAUGGGGUGGGCACAGGGGGUACGGGAACACAAAGGAGGUGCUUAACCUGAUAUUUGAGUUUUGAAAUUUGCAUAGGCAGGCAGCAGGAUGCAUGAGGAUAAAGGCGGUGAAUCAAGGAGUAACAUGGCACUGGGGUCUUGUCUUAUUUCAAUUGUGUUGCUAUAAAGGAAUACCUGAGGCUGAGUAAUUUAUAAAGAAAAGAGGUUUACUUGGCUCACGGUUCUGCAGGCUGCACAAGAAGUGUGACACCAGCACCUGCUUCUAGUGAGGGCCUUAGCUGCUUCCACUCAUGACACAAAGGGAAGGGGAGCUGAUAUGUGCAGAGAUCAUACGGCAAGAGCAGAAGCAAGACAGAGAGGAGGAAGUGGAAGGCUGUUUUCAACAGCCAUUUCUCAGGGGAACUCCAGUGAGAACUAACACAGUGAGAACUCACUCGUUACCAUGAGGAGGCACCAAGCCAUUCAUGAGGGAUCUGCCCAAACACCUCCUAUGAGGUCCCAACAGGUAAAACCCAACAGGUGCAGCCUCUGAAACAGGUGCAUCUGGCAGGCCGAAGUCAGACCUUCCCGUCAGCAUCUGGACUUCUAGCUUCCUCAGGUACCCCUUGAUUACCCAGUUCUGGGGCCAGGGUGGUUCCCCGGGCCCUGUAACUACUGAAAAACAACAGGAUAUACAUCCACAGAGGAGUUGCUUCAUCGCUGUAAUGACAAAGGGACAGGAAUAAUCUACAGCCAGAAUAUUAUUUUCUCCAUAAUGGCUCCUGGAGUCUCCAGGAAUAGCACAUUUACUAAAAUUAAUGGCAAAACUGAGGAUCAAAUUUCAACAUGAUGCUUGAGGGACAAACAUUCAAACUACAGCAGUCCUCAACAUCUGUCUUUAUGCUUAAGUAGAACAGGUAAGAGGAUGAGAGGCAGACAACCAGAGGUGGAAAAAUCUAGAGAGGUUAGAUUUCUUGUAGGCCAUAGGAAGCAGUUUGAACUUUGUUCUGAAGGCAAUGGAGACCCAUGACCCAUGGAAGAUCUUUUUGUUGUUUUCUUUCUUUCUUUUUUUUUUUUUUUUAGAUGGAGGCUAGCUCUGUCACCCAGGCUGGAGUGCAGGGGUGCAACCAUAGUUCACCGUAAUCUUGAACUCCUGGGCUCAAGCAAUCUUCCACCUCAGCCUCCUGAGUAGCUGGGUCUACAGGUACAUGCCAGCAGACGUAGCAAAUUCUUCUUUGUUGCUUCCUUCCUUCCUUCCUUAAUUCCUUCCUUUCCCUUCUUUCCUCUUUCUUUCUUUCUCUCUCUCUUUCUCUUUCAUAGAGAUGGGGUCUUGCUAUGUUGCCGAGGCUGGUCUUGAACUCCAGGCCUGAAGUGAUCCUC
rnacentral:lncRNA from 1 species